CAGAGCUGGCUAAUAUAGAUAUCCAUAACUCCCUUCUCCUGCAGUUGUUCAUAUACACUAAUCUUUUGGGAAAUUUUCUGUUCCUCAUUCUCAUCUAUGUACAUUGGUACAUGGGUAGGGUGGUGGGUUCUAACCAACUGAAACUAAUUAACAUAUCCUCCCACCUUGAGAAAACUUAUUCCAUCAGCGAUGGAAGAGGAGAGGGAGAGAGGAGGGAAAGGGGGGAUCUAGUGGCCAAGUGCUGAAUCAAUCUCUCUCUCAAUCUCUCUCUGUCUCUCUGCCUCUCUCUCUCUCGCUGUCUCUCUCUGUCUCUCUCUGUCUCUCUCUGUCUCUCUCUGUCUCCGGCUGGGGUGAGGAUAUGAGACCUAGGAAUUGCUGGAGCUUGUGUAUGAAGCAACCCUGUGGAAAGCAGAAGAAAAAAGAAAUGGAAUUCUUAGCUGCUGGAUCAGGCUUCAUCUAAAGUUAUCCCUCAGCUGCAGAGAGGAAGGAGAGGCCAGGAGUCCAGCAUCACACAAAGCUUGGCAUUUGUGGGCCAGCCAGUAUCUAGCAAGAGUGUGUCAUAAAUGUAUAUUGAAGAAUUAAAUGACUUUCAGGGGGACAUUUCCUGUUUUCAACGUUUAACCUUUUGCAGAAGAGAUGCCGAGUAGAUCAACUGAGCACACAGAAGGUAUUUACAAGGCUUCCCACAUGUAACACAUCUUCAAUGAAUGGGAAGAGGGAAGAUGGUAGAAAUAUCUAAUCAUUUAAGAUGCUUUCUAGCCUUAUAAAAUAACAUGAGCAAAUUUGUCAUUUUGAUAACAUUUGGAUUCUGCCAAAUGAGGAACAAUUUCUCUGGAUUUGUGGGUUUUAAAAUGUGAGGCAAAGGAAGCAUGCUGUGGUCUACACAGUCUCCAGUAGGUGAUUGGAUCCAGGACCCCCACAAAUGCCCAAAUCCUCAGAUGCUUGAGGUCCUUAGAUAGAAAUGACAUAAUGUUUGUGUGUAACGUACACAUAUCCUCCCAUAUACUUUAGGUCAUCUCUAGAUUAUUUAUAAUACCUAAUAUAGUGCGAAAGCUAUGUAAAUAGUUGCUAUACUAUAUUAUUUAAGGAAUCAUGACAAGGGAAAGAGUCUGUAUAUGUUCAGUACUGAUGAUGAUUUUUGUUUCUAAAUAUUUUUCAGUCAGUGAUUGGUUGAAUAUGUGGAUUUGGAUACAGAGGGUCAACUGUACUCUUGUCACUGAGAGGGGAAUUUAUCAGACAAUAUGGUUGCAAUGGUCUGGUCCCAGUGUAAUGAUUAUACUUCUGAUCCUAAUUUCAAUUCCACAGGGCAUAAAAUCACCAAUAGUAAAGUAUACUGCUUCCCAUCAGGGAUGUGGUAACAAUGUAGGUUCCUGUAUGCACAGUUAGUGUCACAUAGCUCUCACACUGGUGGAAAGGGCUUUUACCAUUGGAAGAGGAAAAUCCAAACAAGAUGGAAUAACCCUUUGAAGUUCACUUUAAUCGAAGGAUAUUUACAUAAUUCACUUUGGAUUGUACCUCUUUAAAUGGUUGUACUUCCUGUCUAUAUCCACACCUAAAAAGUGUCAGUCAUUUAUAGUCCUUUCUCAUGUUUUUAUUGGCAUUUUUAUUAUAAAACCAAAUAUAGUAAAAAUUUCUAAUCAAAAAAGAAAUGAAAAGUUACUGCAUCACUUUGGAUUUUAUCAGUACUGUCCACUACAGAGGAGUAGAUAAAUAGAUGGUAAACUUUUGAGGCUCUCAUUGAAUAUGUAAAUAUGAGAAUCUGCCACAGAAAAAAGUUCAAGUAUUACAGGGAAAGAAUGUCUAACUUAUAACGUUUAAUUUAUUAUAGCCAAAGUUUGUCCUGUUUUUUGUUUUGUUGUUGUCCACAUUAAAACUAUCAUAUUUAUAAACAUUUUAUUUCUUACACAGCAAAUCUUUCAAGAGAUAUGAAUAUAGUACUGCCACCUCCUGGAAAUAUAAAUAUUCAAUGAUAUAAUUUGCAAAAUUAUAUGAACAUAAUACAUGCAUGUUUGGCCAGUAUUUUUUUUCAGUACCUGGAAUCAAACUCAGGGCCUUGCACUUGCCAGGCAGGUGCAGCACCACUGAGCUACAUCCUCAGCCCCCCUGGCCAGUAUUUUUUAAUGAAAGAGCUUAAAGCUUUAAUUUUUGGGCUGGAUAAAGAUAAAAAGGUAUGAUGAUGAAAUCUUACUGUUUUCCAAAACUCAGGAGGCUAAAUGAUGUUUUAAAGACAUAGUCAAAGCUAAAAAACUAUUAAAAUCUUUAUAGCUAAGUGGUUAAAACCAUACAUUACAUUUCCCCUAAAAGCAUAUACAUUUAUCCAAGUGUUAACAAUAUUUUCAUAAAGAUCAAGAAUAUUAAAAAAAAAUUAACUAUUUAGUCAGAUCUCCAGUGUGUGGCUUCUGUCGCCAGUGACUCUGGCAUGUGCUGUGCCAUCUCAUCAGUAGGCCACUGGGAGAAAAGUGUUCUCGCCAACACUUCAGGAUACCUGUGUUAGUUUACCUCUCAGUUGAUGAAAGAAGAGAUUAAUUCUGAACGUGAUUACUUUAGUGCAGCCUGGCUUUCCCUGAAGCAUUAACAGGUCAUGGUGACAUGUCCUUUCAAUGUCACAUGGGACAAAACCCCCAGAGGAUUAGCUGGAGAAAUGAAAUUUGAUUCAGUAUUUAUUAAAGGUCCCAGACUUAGUGAAGUUACAUGUUAGUUUGGAGAUUUUGCCUGAUAAAGGAACAAUUUCUCUUCUGUGGAAAUGAUCCACAGAAGGUUUAUGUCCCCUUGGACAUUAGCCAGGUUUGUGUAUGACCUGGCAAUUGUGUCUUCACAUUGUCAAAAAUUCCCCAACUUUCCAGAUGUUCUUGGAGCCAGUUUUCAUCUCUUACUGUUAUUCUCAUUAAUGAACAUACUGAGUAAAAUCUUAUCAUGUAUUUAUUUGUACAAGAAUGCCAUGUCUUGUAACCUUUUGAAAAUUAAAUUGAUCAGUUCCAAAGGUCAUGCAUUGAAAUGUUUGAGGGGAUAACCCCCAUUUGCCUGCAAAUCUUUCCUUGACCUCUAGUUUGCACACGUUGAAUAAAUUAUUCUCUAUUAGUGGCAGCAGUGUCUGGGGAUUUGCUUUUAUGAUCUGACUAUUCAGUGAUCUCUAUUGGAUGAAUAGUGGGAGACUUGUUCUCUGUUGAGUGAGAAAUGACAGAGAAUCCUGUGUGGUUUUUAAUAGAGUUUGCUUUGUUUGGCUCAUUUGUUUAUACACAAUCUCAAAUCAAUUAAGAACUUAUAUAUUCAGUGGACAGGAACAUAACUCUGAAUUUUUUUUGACCUGCGGCUAAAUUUGUAGAUCUGAAGCUACAAGCUCACUAGGUGUCUUAUAUCUGUAAUUAAGAAAGGUCUUUAGCCCUCUGUAUAAGUAUGAAAUAUUUCCUAUCUCUAGAAGGUAUUAAUGAAUUAGAUUAUAAUAUUGUUUACGUUGAAAGAGCAUUGGUAUGGUUAGCUUAUAGAGAUGAUCAUUCAAAUGAUUAAUAAAUAAAUGUUUUCCAAAUUUAAACCAUACAGAAUGAACCUCUUGUAAUUCAAAUUGUGCUAGUCUUUUAAGAAAGAUGGUUGUUUUUCUAGAAAUCACUAUCUCAGAAACAUUUUGUGAAUCCAAGUUUACAUAGUGAAGGUGAGUCUUUGAACAAAUUAGCUGAUUUAAUAGUUUGAACAAUGGCUAUACACCUUUUCCCUGAGCUUAUCACUACAGGGCAUGAUACAAGCAUACAUUUAAUUUUUUUUUUUUUUGGUACCAGAGAUUGAACUUGGGACCUUAUGCUUGCGAGGCAGGCGCCAGAACCACUGAGCUAAAUCUCCAGCCCCUGAUACAUUUAAUUUUUUAAAUUAAAAUUUAGGGCUUUUAAUCUCAGAAAAACACUAAUUUUAUUUCUUAAACUUGUUAUAUCAGUUUGUGAUCAAAUAAGAUAAAUAUUGCUAUGUUAAAGAUUACAAAAUCUUCAAUUUGUAUUCAACUAAAUUGAAUCAUGAUUUUGAACAAGUUUCUAGUAUCAUCAGUAAUAACUUAUAGUUUGUCAGAUUUAACUUAAUUUCCAAGAUCCUUAAAUAAUUUAAAGCUUAGAUUAAUAACACAGUAAGUCAUAAAUGAAUAAUUAUUAGAUAUUUAGAUAAUUUCCCAGUAAAAUAGACCAUUUAAGCAAUGACUAUUAAUCAUAUUUUUGGGUUUAUAUACUUUUGGUUCUUAUUUUUGCAUAUUAAACAUUAGCUCUAUCUUUGGGACACAUUAAUGAAUAAGUGUUCAUUUUUACCACUUUAACAAAGUUCAAAAGAGAUGUAUGGGGCUGUAGGAAGUUCUGUGUUUAUUCAUGAGCUUUUCUACCCUGCUACAAUUCUUUGCACUGACAUUUCUCAACUAUUUACCUUCUCAUUUCUCCAUAAAAAUGAAUUAUUAGCUUAGUUAAAAAUUAUAAUUAAUGUAGAUGAUGAAAACUAUGUCAGUAGUGGUAGAGAAAUUCAACUGUGUGCGUGGUUUUCUUUCCUAAGAAAAAAGACAAUGGUUGACCUACAACCAUUGACCUACAAGGAAGCGGCAUUGUUUCAGAACACAAAAGAGCAGAGGGAAAGAUAACCUUGUGUAACAAAUUGAGGCUGUGUAACAAGUUGUAGAGGGAAAGAAGAAGGGAAUUUUAUAUCCCUUGAUUUAUAACAUCUCCCUGAAGAGAAGUCAGUUGAAUGUCUUAUAAUUUUGGCAAAUUUCUAUCAGUUUUGAUGGCCCUUGGAUACAAGAUGACUUAAGGAAAAAUAAACUAGCUCACAAAACUUUAUUGACAAAUUUUACAGUACUACAAAGCUAGAAUUCUAUUUUUCCCUCUGUUAAAAUGAUGAAUUGGUCUCUGUGCCCUCAUGCAGUGGCAGUGAACAAAUUAUUUUUUACCUUUUGUGUAAUCUGUACAGAUAGAAAUUGCCAAGUCUCAGCAUAAUUUCGUUGUUUUGUAUCAAUUUUACUAUCCCCUUGAUUAUGUAAACAUUAAAUAAAAGCCAAGUUUUCUCAUUUGUGAAAGACCUGACUUUCUUAUAGUUGUAUUGCCUUCUUGUAUGUUUAUCUAAAAAUAUUUUACUGUCAUUUUGAUGAAAUAGGUAACCAAUUGUUGUUUCUAAGCACCCAUAGACUAUUGUCCAAAUCUUCUCUUAUAACCUGAUUUUGUCUCCAAGGAUCAGAUUCUAAAUUUAGAAAAGAAAUACUGUUUUUUUCCAGGAUGGUUUGUGUACUUAACAGCUAUCUUUGAGAAUUCCCAGAGAGACCUUGGAAGGUUACAAAGAUUUGUCAUUUCACUGUAUAAAAAGAGGGAGGCUGGAAACAAGUAAGUUUGUUUGGUGUUUUCCAUAUUUCUUAAUUAGCUCAGUAUUACAGAAAGAAUACCAUGGGAAAAUUUGUCAAACAGGAAAAGAUGUUGAGGUUUCCUGAGGUUAAAUCUGUAUGGGUAUAAUGCUACUAAUAUAAACAUUUCAGAUAUUGUACAUUUUCUAGAAAGGCUUUGAAGAUUUGUUAAUACGUUAAUGGCUGUAAUAUGUCCUUAUCUCCAAGGGAAAUAUUGAUCAAUUUUAAUGAAAUAGUUAUGUAGGGUGCCACAAAGAAGAAUUUUAUUUCUCCUCUUUUUUGAUUUUGUGUUGUAUGAAGGUAGUCAAUCAUUCAGUCUAUCAUUUCUGCUUUUACUGUAUGUCUGUCUAAGAUCAGAGCCUCUAGUGUCUGAGCCACAUAUAAAUAUGUUCCAGAUACUCUUAUUGCUGUCUGUAAAUAAUAGUCUUUUGGAAACAUGCUUUCUUGGCUGGUAUUUUUUAGGCUGUAUGGUAGACUGAGUCAGAAUUUCUGGAUUCCAAGAUUCCAAAGAUUCUUUUCAGUUCAAAUGUACUUUAUGGUAGCUUAGUUCUUGAUCUCAGUCAGGAAAUAAGACUUAAUUAUCCAAGAGGACCAAAUGAACUGAUGAGGAAAAAUGUUACUAUGUGUUAACUUCCCCAAGCAUUGGUGGAGCACACUUCUGGGUAUGUGUAGGUGGGUAAUGGAGGUGUGACUUUGGAUCCUAUAUCUGGUUCUUUGCCCCUUCCUCUCUGGUGCUGCUACCCUGCCCUUCUUCCUGACCCCAGUGAACUAUGCAUCUCUGCUCUGCCAAAUCCUUCAACCAUGAUGUUCCUGCCUUGGAGCCUGCCGACCAUGCAUUCAAUUCCCUGAAAUCAUGAGCUAAAUUAAAUCUCUCCUUUAAGUUUCAGGUGUUGGGUAUUGUAGCCUAACAACAGGAAAGCUGGCUAAUACAGAAAAUUGGUAGUUAAGAAAUGCAGUUGUGGCUGUGAUUGUACUUGACUAUGUGGUUUAGAAGCCUUCGGAACUGGAUUGUAGGAGGAGUUUGGUAAGGUUUGGAGAUGCAGGCUAGAGAAGCCUUUAGAUGCUGUAAGUAGAGCCUGAUGGGGCUCAGAAAAUCAGAAUACUGAUAGGGUGUAGAGGUUAAAGUACAGGCUAUGAGCAACCCAGCCCAAGAGAAAG
ensembl:lncRNA